UUGCAUCAUAUCAUCAUUAGUUUCAACAAUAUCUUCUUCAAGAUUUGCAUCCCUUCUUCAUCUGUUAACCUUUGCUUUUCUUCUCCAAGCAGCUUUUGGAGUUGACCCUCUCUUGCACUUUUGUUCAAACUCUGCAGGGAAUUGCCUAUGACCUUAUGAAGGAAACUUAAACAAGCUCACUGGUUACCACUCCAUUCAAGCUCUUCUCCCAGGUUUUGGCCUCAGCAUUCUAGGGCAGCAGCCGAACCAAGCAUUUGGGCUUGCCCUCUGCCCUUACAAUAAAGGUGCAAUUUAUUAGGAAAGUGGAGUCCAACCCUAUGGAUUUUUUACUACUCAAAGGCCAUGCAUAUUGUGUUUUUAGGCUUCCUUAAAAAGAGUCCUAGCUACUUAAUAAAAAAAUAUGUGGUUGUUUUAAGGUUAAAAAAAUAAAACGGUGAUGCCACAAAUCAAGAAAAGAAAGGGGAAAGAAAAGCCAAAAAAAUAGAGAGAAAAGGGAUAAGAGAGAGUUGGUUGAACAAAGUCGAUCCAUGAUCCAAUUGAACUGAAAUUUUGUCAGUAGGUUUAUGAUUUAGAAUUCUAUAUUUUAAAUAGCGAAGAUCGGGUUUAAAACUCUCUAAAAACAAAUCCAAUGUGUAUUUGUUGAGUAACUUAUUUAGUGAGAUUUCUCUAAUUGUCUCUCAAAUUGUUAAUUAGCUCUAGUUUUAGCUAGAGAAGAAUUUUGUAUAUCCAUUAUUUAAUAGUGAAGAUUUUUCUGGUGGUUCGUGAUUUUUUUCAUCUACAUCAAAGGGUUUUUCACAUAAAUCUUGGUGUAUUUUAUUUUUCUUACGUUGUUGAUUAUUAAUUGUUGUUUAUUACUGUGGGAUUAUUAUGAUAUAUUGCUUCUGCAUUGCUGUGUUUAUUACUUCAGGCCCAACAAGUGUUAUCAGAGUGAGAGUUAUUUUGAGACAUCGAUAUAGAAGCAGCCUAAGACAGAAGUAAAUUCUGUUUGAGAUUAUGAAAGGUGAUAUAGGUUCCAUGAUAAAAUUGACAGCAUCAAAUUAUUCAAUUUGAAAGCUUAUGAUGAACAUCAUUUAUAUUGUAAAAAUUUGUAUGAACCGAUAUUGGAAGAUUCGACUAAACUAGCAGAUAUGAAAGAUAAAAGCUGAAAGAAGUUAGGCAAAAAGACGCUGGCUACAAUUAGAAAAUGGGUUGAUAUCAAUGUGUUUUAUCAUGUAGCGCAGGAGACAGAUACCCACACUGUUUGAAAAAAUUGACAACAUUGUAUGAGAGAAAAACAAGUAUAAAUAAAGUUAUGCUUGUUAAAAAGUUUGUAACUUUACAGUAUAGGGAUGGACGAUCUAUUACAAAGCACUUGAGUGAUUUUCAAGAUGUAUUUAAUCGAAUGAUUACUAUGAAGCUUAAGAUAGAUAAUGAAAUGAAGGCAUUAUUUCUUUUGGGUUCAUUGUCAGACAACUGGAAUACUUUAGUUAUGAUUGUUUUUAAUUCAUCUCCUGAUUACAAGGUGAUAUUAGAGAUGGUAAAAGACAUUAUGCUUAAUGAAAAAGUAAGGUAAAAAGAUGUAAACCCUGAAAAUCAAGUUAUGGUCAUAGAAAAUAGAGGUAAAAACAUCAACAGAGAUCAGAACUCAAAAGGUCAUAGUAAGUCUAAACAUAGAUCUAAGUCCACAGAUAAAGUAAAGUGUUUUCAUUAUGGUAAAACAGGUCAUAUAAAAUGACACUAUAAAAUCUUGAAGUAAGAGCAAAAAUAUGAGAAAAGCAAGAGUUCAGAUGAUAUAAUGUUACAGCAGUAAAUUCAUAUAAUAAUUCAGUUACUUUGAUUUAUAUACAUGGUAAUUGUAAUCAUGUUGGUGAUCCCGAUAUUGAGUGAAUAGUUGACAUAGGAGUGGCAUAUCAUUGUGUUCCUAAGAGAAAGUUAUUUACAACUUACAAAGUAAGAAACUUUGGUUACACCAAAAUGAGAAACAAGAAUAGGUCAUAGAUUAUUGGGAUUUGUGAUAUUAUUGUACAAACUAGUAUAGGCUGUAUGUUGACCUUGAAAGAUGUCAGACACAUUAUAGAUAUGAGAAUGAACUUGCUUGCUAUUAAUGUCCUUGAUAAAGAAAGACAUGAGAGUCAACAAAAGAAUGGAUUGUGACAACUUCUUAAAGAUUAUGAUAGUUGCAACAGAAAAACUAUGCUACAUAAUGUACAAGACAUGGAUGCAAUUGAACAAUAAUCAGAUAAAUACCAUUAAGGAUGAUGCUUCAGAAAACUUAUGACAUAAGAGGCUGGCACAAAUGAGUAAAAAAGGGUCAUAGGUUUUGGCAAUGUAGUCUUUCAUUCCUUUGACCAAAGGUAUGUCCUUCGAUUCAUGUGAUCAUUGUUUGUUUGAUAAGCAUCGUAGAGUUUUUUUUUGUAAGAGUUCUCAAAGAAAAGAAAAUAGAUUAGAACUGAUUUAUUUUUACGUAUGUGAUCCCAUUAAGGUUGAGUUAUUAGGGGUAGUAAGUAUUUUAUUAUUUUUAUUGAUGAUACUUCAUGUAAGACUUGAGUAUAUAUGUUAAAAAACCAAAAGCCAAAUAUUAUAGUAUUUUUAAAAAUUUCAUGCCAUGGUGAAAAAGAUGACAGAGCUACCCUUAAAGUAUGUUCAAACUGAUAAUGGUGAAAAAUACACAUCCAAUGACUUUAAAGAGUAUUGUUUAAAGCAUAGGAUCAGGCAUGAGAUGACAAAACCUAGAACAUCACAGUAUAAUGAUCAAUGUAUGUUGAGAUGGUAAAAUUAUCAAAGUCAUUCUAGAGUGAAACAAUCAACAUAGUUUGUUAUUUGCUUAAUAGAUCACUAUUAGUUCUUUUGGGCUUUAACAUUCCAAAAUGAGUGUGGACAGGGAAAGAUGCUUCAUAAUUUCACUUGAAAGUUUUUAUGUGUAAAAUAUUCAUGCAUGUGCCAAAAAAAUAGAGAUCAAAGCUUGACAGUAAAGCUACACAAUGUGUGUUUGUAGGAUAUAAUGAUGAGAAAUUUGGUUACAAGAUAUGAGAUCCAGUGAAGAGAAAAAAGAUCAGAAGCAGAGAUAUAGUCUUUCAUGAAAAAAAAUCAUAACGGACCUUGAGAUAAAUGAGAAAACUACAUGGGUUACUAUUGAGUGUGAUGUUUCAACACCGACAGAAAUUUCAUAAGAAAAAGCCACAGAUGAUAAAAAUGAGCAAAAAAUAAAACUUUGGGAUAUGAAUGAGCCAACCAGAGUUAGUGAUGAGUUAGAUGCAAUCAGUUUUAAAUAUAAGGAGUAAUCCUCUCUACCUAAGAGUGUUGAGUAGGAAGAGCUACCUUCGAUAUUAGAUAGUGUACAGUUUCAGUCGAAGAGAUCUACUAGAGAGCACAGGCCAUCUAUCAGGUAUCCAAGUUUAAAUUUUUUUUUAGUUAUAAGUGAGAGGGAGCCAAAAAGCUUCCAAAAUGUGCAGACUACUCCAGAUAGAAAGCAUUGAUUAAAAAUAAUGAAAGAAUAAAUGGAGUCAUUACAAAAAAAUGAUACAUAUGAUCUUGUUAAACUUUUAAAGAAAAAAAGUCUUUAAAAAAUAAAUUGAUGUUCAAGUUGAAAAAGAAUGAUGAUAAGCUAGUAAGGUACAAAGCUCGAUUGAUGGUGAAAGAUUUUUUUUAAAAACCAGGCAUCGAUUUUGAUAAGAUCUUCUUUUCAAUCGUGAAGAUGAGUUUCAUUUAAAAUGGUAUUGAGAUUAACAGUAAGUUUGAAUCUUAAUCUUGAGUAACUUAAUGUCAAGACUACAUUCUUACAUGAUGACCUACAAGAAGAUAUUUAUAUCAAUCAACUUGAAGGUUUUAAAGUAAAAAAAAAAAGAGCACUUAGUUUACAAACUAAAAAAAAGCUUGUAUAGCUUGAAACAAGCUUCACGAUAAUGGUAUAAAAAAUUUGAUUCUUUUAUGGUAAGCCAUAACUAUAAAAGAAUGGUAGCGAAUCCUUGUGUAUAUGUCAAAAAAACUUUUAAUGGUAAUAUCAUUAUUCUCUUAUUAUAUAUUGAUGAUAUGUUAAUUGUGGGACAAGAUAUUGGUAUGAUUCAUAGGUUAAAAGAACAAUUAUCUAAAUCUUUUGACAUAAAAGAUUUAGGUCCAGCAAAAUAAAUUCUUGGUAUGGAUAUUAUUUGGUAUAAGAGAGCUAAAAAGUUAUGGCUGUCAUAAGAAAAGUAUGUUCAACAGGUGUUUAGUAGAUUCAAUAUGCAACAUGUUAAAUCAGUUAGUAGUCCACUUGUCAACCAUUUUCAUCUGAGUAAAAAAUCUUAUCUGGUGACUAAAAAAGAGUAACUAGUUAUGUUUAUUAUUUUUUAUUUUUCUACAAUUAGCUAUAUGAUAUAUCUUAUGGCUUGCACAUGAUCUGACAUUACUCAUGCAAUUGGUGUAAUGAGUAAAUUUCUUUCUAAUCAGGAAAAAAUUCAUUGAAAAGCAGUGAAAUGAAUUUUUAGAUAUUUAAAGGGUACUUCAAAAAUAUGCUUGAGUUAUAAAGUUUUUACAAUCAAUUCUAGAUGGAUUUAUUAAUGUUGACAUGGUAGGUGAUCUUGAUGGUAGUAAAUCUACUUUAGGGUAUUUAUUCAUUUUUACAGGAGAAGUUGUGUCUUGACAGUUUAAGUUACAGAAGUGUAUUGCUUUAUCAACUACAGAAGCUGAGUAUAUUGCAACAACUGAAGCAGGUAAAGAAUGUUUUGGAAGAAAUGUUUUCUUUUUAAAUUGGAGUUGAAUCAAAAAGAGUAUGUGGUGUUCUGUGAUAGCUAUAACGCUUUAGAUUUGAGUACGAAUGUCAUAUACCAUUCUAAAAUGAACUACAUUAAUGUUAGAUAUCAUUAAUUACGUUCAGUGAUUGAGGAACAGUAGAUGUUGUUGAAAAAAACCAUACUGAUGAGAAUAUAGCAGAUAUGUUAACUAAGACACUUUUCAGAGAGAAACUUGAGCUCUGCAAUAACUUGGUCAAAAUGGGUUCUUUGGCCAAGGUAAAUUUUAAAUAAAACUGCUAUGGUGAUGAAUCUCUUUCUAAUGGACUGAAUGGAGAGAUUGUUAGGAAAAAUGGGGUUCAACCCUAUGAGUUUUUUUACUAUUCAAAGGCCAUGGGCUUUGUGUUUUUAGGCUUCCUUAAGAGAGUCUUAAUUACUUAAUAAAAAGAUGUGAGGCUAUUUUAAGGUGUAAAAAAAAAGAAGGUGGCGCCAUAAACUAAGAAAAGAAAAGAGAAAAAAAAGCCAAAAAAUAGAGAGAAAAGAGAGUUGGUUGAACAAAAGUCGAUUCGUGAUCUGAUUGAGCUAAAAUUUUGUCAGCAGGUUUAUGAUUCAGAGUUUUAUAUUAUGAACGAUGAAGAUCAGGUUUGAAACUCUCUAGGAACAAAUUCAUGGUGUAUUUGUUAAGUCACUUAUUUGGUAAGAUUUCUCCAAUUGUCUCUCUAGUUGUUGAUUAGCUCUAGUUUUAGCUAGAAAAAGACUUUGUAUAUCCAUUAUUUGAUAAUAAAGAUUUUUUUGAUGGUCCAUAAUUUUUUUCUCUAUAUUAGAGGAUUUUUCACGUAAAUCUUAGUGUGUUUUAUUUUUUUCUACAUUGUUGAUUAUUAAUUAUUAUCUAUUACUGUGAGUUUAUUGUGAUAUAUUACUUAUACGUUGUUGUGUUUAUUGCUUUAGACCUAAUAUAAUUAUCUAGUAUGAUAAUUAUCUUUUAAAGUAUUCAAAAAUGGAAUUCUUUGGCCAGAUUGAUAACCAAAACAAGAUCUACAUGUUGAACUCGAAUUAUGUGAGCGAUCUCAUUUCAUUCAAUCAGAAGACUAAUGAACUACUAAGUCAAUUGACGAAUGAAGCUUAUGCAAGUCCUAAAUUGUAUGCCACUGGAAAGAUGAAGUUAUAUGGAUCACAGAAACUUUAUGGAUUGACUCAAUGCACAAGGGACAUUUCCAGCGGUGACUAUAAAAAGUGUCUUAACAGUAUAAUUGGUAAGCUUCCAAGCUGCUAUGAUGGUAAAGAAGGAGGUAGAGUUGUUGGUGGCAGAUGUAACUUUAGAUAUGAAAUAUACCCUUUUGUUAAUGCUUAAACAUUUGAAAAAAAAAAUUUAUUACUGAAAAAAUGUGAAAAAUUAAUGGAUCAAUGCGAUGACUGUCGAUCAUCACUGAAUAAAUAAAACUUAUGUUACAAUCAUGCAUAUAUGAUGCAUCAGUUUUCUUUCAACAUUGUAAUUUUCUCUUCUCUUUUCCAAUCAAAAUUAUAGAAUACAUGGCCAUUCAAGGAAGAGUUUUAUUUUCUCACUAGCUAAAAUAUAGUGACUAGAAAAAAGAGCCAUUUUUUUUACACACAACAAAGUAUUGUUGAAAACUUACCUCUCAUUUACUCUCUAUUCGGUCAUUGGACGCCCAGUUUCUUUAAGCUGAAAUAUCGUUUUAGGUCAAAUAAACCUUCACCUUUCUUCUGUUGGGAUUUUUUAAGCAAAACAAAUUUCACAAUGAGAUCAAUAUAAAAUAAAUCACAUGAAAGAGGUAAUAUUUAAUAUGGUUCAGCCCAACUGAUUGCAUUUAUGGAUGAGAGAAAAAAUCCACUAUAAAUGUAGAAAUUACAAAGAAUACAAAACUCUAUAAACAAACACUAAUAUCGAGCCUCUGAAACAAUCCUAGUUUCCAUUCUCCCUAAUAUAUAACUUAUGGGCUAGUGUUUUUUUGAACAAAUUCUUUUUCACAUCCCUACAAAGCUAUCUCUCGUAUAGAGAUCUCAUAAUUAUAAAAGUUAAUACUUACUUUAUAUUUAUAAAGCUUUAAGCUUCGUUACUUAAUCAUUAAGAAUUUCUAUUAACUAAGAGCUCUUACUCAUUAAGAAUACUUAUCCUUAAAUAAACUCAAUUACCAAGUAAUUCUUUAACUAAUAAAAUUUCACUGGAAUUCAAACUAAUUCUUAAUAAGAAUUUGAGUCAAUAUCUAACAAAUGUCUACUUUAACACAAAUUUUACCACAAUAUUGACCUUCAAAAAAUGUCAACUACACAUGAUUGAAUUAAUGCUAACUCCACUUGAUUCACAUAAGUGGUAAAUACUUAUAUGCAGCCAAAUCAACUUCACUUAGUUGACUCUACCUAUAACUAACAUCUUGUUGUAACAUUUUCUCUUGUAUAUUUCUGAUCUCACGAACACAAUUUGCAAUAAGAAAUCCCCUUCCACAAUCAAUGUGAGAUAAUCUUAAUAAUCUCUCAUUUUCAUACAUCAGGCCACAGGGAAGAGUUUCUAUACUCAGCUCACAAUGAAAUGUUGGUAACCUGGCUCUGAUAUUAGUUGUUGGGAUUUUUUAAGCAGAACAAAUUUCACAACAAGAUUAACACGAAAUAAAUUACAUACAAAAUGUAAUAUUUAACGUAGUUCAACUCAAUUACAUCCAUGAAUGAGAUAGAAAAUUCACUAUAAAUGUAAUUACAAAGAGUACAAAAUACCACAAAUAAACACUAAUUUCAAGCCCCCAAAACAAUCUCAGUUUUCAUACUUCUUAGUGUAUAACUUAUGAAAUAUCCUUUAUUCUAUACAAUCAGUAUUUUUUUGAAUAAAUUCUUUUUCACAUCCCUACUAACCUAUCUCCUAUAUAGAAAUCUCAUAACUCUCUAUCAUAAUUCUAAAUGUUAAUAUUUACUCUAUACUUAUAAAGCUUCGAACUCCAUUACUUGAUCACUUAUAAUUUUUAUUUACUAAAAACUCUUGUCCAUUAAAAACAUUUAUCCUUAAAUAAACUUAAUUACCAGAUAUUGGAAUUCAAACUAAUUCUUAAUUAGAAUUUGAGCCAAUAUUUAACGGAUGGUUUGCCUUAAUCAAUGGAGAAUAUUGUUGCAUGCAUGCUGACAUUACGGAUAAUUUACAAUGUAAUAAAGACGGUUCCUCUUCCAACAACAAACAUUUUUGCAUUAAACUUUGAAUUUAACAUUGUGUUAAUUAUCCUGGUGAAUUAGUAGGUGAAUAUAUUGUGCUUGUUUUCAAUCUUAAAUGUUUGGGUAUCUUAUAUAUGUUUCAAAUCCCAUACAAUGUGAGAAUAUUUAUAAAGUUUUUCAAGGAGUUUAGUAUAAUUCAAUAUGUAUAUUGCAAUAUACCAUUUUUAAGUUUUAGGAGAUAAAUGUUAAUUUGGGUUUAACUUAUCAAUAAUUAAGUCAAGUUAACAAUUUAGAUGCUAUAUGAAAUGCUUUAUAUAUAUAUAUAUAUAUAUAUAUAUAAUAGUUUGGAAGUCCUAUAUAAAUUCCCCUAGCGUGAAAGUCCAUCCUUUGACAUGUAACUCUUUAAUGGUCUCAGAAGUUCUUUGUUAUUAUUCUCCUAGGUUUACUCUUUUAUGUGGAGGAAAUAACUUCUUGAGAACCGAACUAAUUAAAUGCAAUAAAUUAUAAUCUAUGUAAAAUUUUUUUAAAACGAAGUCAUACUUUAGAGGUAUAAAAAAAUUAUAAAUAUUAAUCAAAUUUUAAUGUUAAAUUUAUUGAAUAUUAUUUUUAAUAAUAAUUCUAUAAAUUAAUUAGAUUAAAUUCGGAAUCUAAAAAAUUUUUAAGUUAAGAAAUAUGCGAUUUUAGAUAAAAGGAUUUUUAUCAAUAAUUCAUGCAAUCAAACAAAUAAUGGAUCAAUACGAUGACUGUUGUGAUGGGUACUCGAAGGUUUGAUUAGAAAAUAAAUAAAAUUAUUAUUAGAACACAAGCCGAGUUAGUUGUGAAAACUAUGCCUGACUUGGGCUGACAAGCCCAACAAACGAAAAGUUCUGAACCCAACAACGAGGACUACUCUACUAACAUCUGGGCCACUCGAUCCAUCAAUUCUGGCCCACUUACCAAGCCCAAAAAACCACAACAUCUAUAUAGUUUCGUGUAUAUGACAAACAUAUACAUUUAAUUGAUGAAUUUAUACUUAUAAAAACCUUUUUGUAUUUGAGCAUUGCAGAGGGUACGGAUUGCAAAGUCUGUUAAUAGAAUAUUAAAUUUUUAAUUUCAGUAAUUAAAAUUUAAAUUUUGAUAACUUUAAAUAUAAAAAAAUUUUCAAAAAAUGAAUUAAUGUAUUAAUGUCGUCUUUAACAAUUACUAUCCAAAUUUAUUUCAAACUAAACUUUAUGAUUAACUAGCACAACAAUUUACAAGAAUAUUCAUGACCAAAUUCAUACCACACCAAAUCAGUCCUUAGUCAUUGUCUCAUAAUUGACAAAAUCAGCUCUCUUGUAGCCUUCUGAAUAGUUCUCGUCUUUCAAAGAUAAAGUCAAAAUGCAUGCUUAUAUAUAUGAAUCACAAUCAUUGUGGAAUAGAGAUAAGGGGAAUGGAUAUGUUCAUGAGGAAAUAUAUCUAGUUACCAACAGCUCUAAGCUUAUUCCCCAAUUUGCAUCCUCAAAAAACCUUAACUGCUCAGUGUAUAUAGGAAGGGCCGUAAAUGGAGAGAUAAGGCAAUUGAAGGAAUGCAAUGCACUACCGGAAAUGCUUUGGCUGUAACCUAAGAAUCUAUCACAAAAAAAUCUAUUCACGUCAUAGAUAAAAAUUAAAUUUUAUAUAAUAUAUACGUUUAAUUCAGAAUACCAUUGCAAAUUUGUUCAAUUCUAUCACAAAUUUAAUGACGAUUUUUUUCAUCAUAAAGAUUAUAAGUUCCAUCACAAUUAAUGUUUGAUCAAGUCGGAUAAUGUUUUUUGACGGAAAAGAAGAAGCAACAAAUAGCCAACCUCAACUACGUAGAAAAGACAACGAAACUCCCCUAUUUUUCUAAUCUUUUACCAUAUGCCAUGGUGCUGAAAGGGUAUCUAUUAGCCAAAGUUAUAAUCAUAUGAUAGAAGAAAAGCUAGGCAUCGUUCUAGAACUGGCAUGGUUAGAUUACGAGAAGAUCAAGGAAACUAUCUGGCUAUGAUAAGAAAGGCAUUAGAUUAUAUUAGACCUUUAAAUUUUUUGUUUUCUCUCAUUUUCAAAUCAGCUCACGUCUCUGUCAAUUAAGAUUGAAAGGUACAUUUGGUGAAGUCGUCCAAGACGUAAAAGGGAAAGGUGUUGCAUUCGAAAGGGACACUCUCGCUUGCUUUGGGGCUCGCUCAAGCAACCAUUGCCAAACUGUAUAUAGCUUUGAAGUUCGAACCCACCCGCAUAAAGUAGGAAAGGAAAUAUUUCUUCUGGGGUUUUUUGGUGGUUAAUGGCCUCAACAGCUAUGACAUUACCAAUCACUUAAAUUAUUGACCAGAUUGCAACCUGUUUGGCUUAAUGAAUUCCAACCUGAUUUAGCAAAAAAAUAAUUACCAAUCACUUAAAAUUUUUAAUUACGCAUUUUUAUCACAUACUUUUUAAACAAUAUUAUUUUUUCAAACUUACACCUUUUCCAACUGUAACAUCAAUGCCAAACUAAUCCUUAAAAACAUUGAUGAGGCAGACAUCGUGAGAUUGCUACUUCGUCAACUCUUACAUACGGUUUACUUAUUUAUUGGUCAAACAUUUGAUUUUUCGUGCUGCAGUGAUCAUAGCCACCUAAAAUCUAGUUUAUGUAAUAAAACAAGAACAAGAAAGUACCUUCUCCAAUACCCCUAGACCUAGCCAUCUUUCGUAUAAAAAAAUUCCUUCAAUAAUUAUUAAUAUACAAAAGAAAAACGGUGUGAAAUGAACUUCUAGAACUUAGAAAAGGCCAAGGAACUGGUUCACCAUCAGCUUUCCUAAUAAGGAGAUAUAUUGGUCAAUGGUCAUAUAGAUAUAGUUUACAGGUUAUACCAAAGCUGAAAAACAUUCUAUCUGGGGGUGCUAUAUUUGACACAAUCUGCAAUGUCUUUUCCUGUGGGUUUUUUUUUAAGUGUUUGAAGAAUCUCAUCGGGCAUCGAACUUGUAAACUUCCUGGUUCUUUUCAAUUUUCAAACAAAAAUUUUGAUUAAUUUAAUAGUACAUAUUUAGGGAUAGGAAUGGAUAGUAAAUAAAUUAAUAUUUAUUACUAUUCGAUUCGAUUAUGUUGAAUUCGAAUAAUUAUAAAUAGAUAAUUAACGAAUUCGAAUAAAAUAUUUACUAUUCAUGAUAGAUUUGGAAUGAUACGAAUAGUAUCUUUGAAUAUCCAAUAUAUGAAUUCGUUUAAGUUUUAAUGAAUAACAAUAAAUAUGAUAUCUGAAUUUAUUAUUCUUUUACAUAUAUAAAAUAUAUAAAAUUUUUAUAUUUGUAAAAAGUUUCAAAUAUUAAAAAAUAACUUUUAUUUAUUAUUAAUUAAGACAGAACUUGAAUUUUAAAUUAAAUUCUUGCUUAUUUUAUAUUUUAACAAAAAAAUUAAAUAAAUAAAUAUUUUAACAUAUUCGGAUAUUUAAAUGAAUAGUAUUUAUUUAAACAUAUAUGAAUUUAGAUAAGAAUAUUAAACUUAAAUUGAUAUUUAAAUUGAUUCAAUAUUAUAAAUAUUAAAUAGAUUGGGAUAUGAAUAUCUAAAAAAUAGCGAAUAUCCGCUCCACUGCUAUUCCUAUAUAUAUUUACAAUUUUUGCCAAAAAAUAUCCCAUGUUAAAAGGAUUUUAGUAGGUUUUCUAUGAAAUUAAACACUUAUUUGUACUUAGUAAUUUUAAACAUAAUACACAAUAAAAAUAUAUAUGAAAAAAAAUGAAAGUAAUAUAGUUUAAAAUUUUAAUAAAAAUCAUAUAUAGAUUUUAUAAAAAUAAAAAUAUACAUUUUGUAUUUAGCUUUGAUAUAAUUUUUUUAGUUUAUACAUAUUAAAUAUAAAAUAACCAAACACGAAAUACACGAAUUUAUCCAUGCAACAUGCAUAUUUACCAAAUGGAUUUGGAUAGAAAAAUAUUUAUACAUUUAUUUAAUUACAUGGAGUCAAGCUAUUGUGUUUGAUUUGUUCUAUCGCAUAUGGUAAUUUCCACAACUACUGCAUUAUAGUUGAUGAAUAAGUGCGUUUUCAGCUUACCCAUUAAAGAAUUGUCUGAGCGCCGCAGCCCACAUUUGAAAGUUUCUUGUCACCUUGCUUGCACAGUGAAGAAAAUAGAGCAGAAAAAACUAAAAAGGUCAGCCUCCUAAACCUAUAAUCUCCUUGGUCAAACCUGAAAUUUUCCCUAUAAAUAACAGUUUCAUGGUCCUAAGCUGAAACAAACAAGCUAAUUGCAUUAUAUCAUCAUUAGUUUCAACAAUGUCUUCUUCAAGAUUUGCCUCCCUUCUUCAUCUGUUAACCUUUGCUUUCCUUCUCCAAACAGCUUUUGGAGUUGACCCUCUCUUCCAUUUUUGUUCAAACUCUGCAGGGAAUUUCACUGCCUAUGACACUUAUGAAGGAAACUUAAACAAGCUUAUUGGUUACCUCUCCAUUCAAGCUCCUCCCCCAGGUUUUGGCCUCGGCAUUCUAGGGCAGCAGCCGAACCAAGCAUUUGGGCUUGCCCUUUGUAGAGGCGAUGUGUCAACCCCAGAUUGCAAAACCUGUGUUGUUGAAGCAGGCAGUGAAAUCCGCAAACGCUGCCCUGACAACAGAGGUGCAAUUAUCUGGUACGAUAACUGUCUUUUGAAGUAUUCAAACACGGAAUUCUUCGGCCAGAUUGAUAACCAGAACAAGUUCUACAUGUACAAUUCGAAUUCUGUGAGCGAUCCCAUUUCAUUCAAUCAGAAGACUAAGCAACUGCUAAGUCAAUUGGCCAAUGAUGCUUAUGCAACUCCCAAACUGUAUGCCACUGGAGAGAUGGAGCUGUAUGGAUCACAGAAACUUUAUGGAUUGACUCAGUGCACAAGGGACAUUUCCAGCGGUGACUGUAAGAAGUGUCUUGACGGUAUAAUUGGUGAGCUUCCAAGCUGCUGUGACGGGAAAGAAGGAGGUAGAGUUGUUGGUGGCAGCUGUAACGUCAGAUAUGAAAUAUACCCUUUUAUUAAUGCUUAAAAUUUGAAAAAAAAAAAAAAAAGAACUUCUGUUACUGAAAAAAUGUGAAAAAUUAAUGGAUCAAUGCGAUGACUGUCGGUCAUCACUGAACAAAUAAAACUUCUGUUACAAUCAUGCAUAUACGAUGCAUCAGCUCCCUAUUUCAAUAUUGUAAUUUUCUCUUCUCUUUUCCAAUCAAAAUUAUGGAGUACAUGGCCAUUCAAGGAAGAGUUUUCUUUUCCCACUAGCUAAGAGACAGUGACCAGAGAAAAGAGCCACUCUUUUUACUCACAACAAAGUAUUGUUGAAAACUUGCCUCUCAUUUGCUCUCCAUCUGCUCGUUGGGCGCCCAGUUUCUUUAAGCUUUGAAUUUAGCAUUGUGUUAAUUGUCCUAGUGAAUUAGUAGGUGAAUAUAUUGUCCUUCUUUCAAUCUUGAAUGUUUGGGUAUCUUAUAUAUGUUGCUAAUCCCAUCCAAUUUGUGAGGCUAUUUAUAAAGUUCUUCAAGGAGUUUAAUAUAAAUUAAUAUGUAUAUUGCAAUAUACCAUUUUUAAGUUUUAGGAGAUAAAUGUUGAUGUGGGUUCAACUUAACAAUAUUAAAUUUAAUUAAGUCAAAUUAACAAUUUAGAUGCUCUAUAAAAGGCUUUAUAUAUAUAUAUAUAUAUAUAUAUAUAAUAGUUUGGAAGUCCCAUAUAAAUUCCCCUAACAUGAAAGUUCAUCAUUUGAUGUUUCACUCCUUAAAGGUCUCAGAAGUUGACUUUGCUAUUGAUCUCCUGCCAUUCUCUAUUCUCUCGAGGAAAUAACCUCUCGAGAACCAAACUAAUUAAAUGCAAUAAAAAAUAAUUUAUGUAAAGUUUUUUUUUAAAUGAAAUCGUAUUUUAGAGGUAUAAAAAAAUUGUAAAUAUUAAUCAAAUUUUAAUAUCAAAUUUAUUGAAUAAUAAAAUUUGAAUUUUGAGCUUGAACAACGUAAUGUCAACAUUGUAUUCUUGCUUAGUGACUUGCAAAAGGAUAUUUAUAUGAAUCAAUCUAAGAGUUUUGAAGUAAAAAUAAAAUAGCACUUAGUUUACAAACCAAAUAAAAGCUUAUAUGGCUUGAAACAAGUUCCGCGACAGUAGUACAAAAAAUUUUAUUCUUUUAUGGUGAGCCAUAGUUAUAAAAGAAUCGUAGCAGAUUCUUUUGUGUAUAUCAAAAAAUUUUUCUGAUGGUAACUUCAAAAUUUUCCGAUGGUAACUUCAUUAUUCUCUUAUUAUAUGUUGAUGAUAUGUUAAUUAUGGGACAAGAUGCUGGUAUAGUUCACAGGUUGAAAAAAUAAUUAUCUAAGUCCCUUGACAUAAAAGAUUUAGGUCUAGUAAAGUAGAUUCUUGGUAUGGACAUUAUCUGAGAUAGAAGAGUUGAAAAGUUGUGGUUGUCAUAAGAAAAGUAUGUUAAACAAGUGUUUAGUAGAUUCAACAUGCAACAUGCUAAAUCAGUUAGCAAUCUACAUGCUAAAUCAGUUAUCAAUCCACUUGCUAACCAUUUUCAUCUGAGUAAAAAAUCUUGUCUAAUGACUAAGGAAGGCGACUAGCUAUGUCUAGCAUUCUUUAUUCUUUUGCAGUCGAUUCUUUGAUGUAUCUUAUGGUUCGCACACAAUUUAACAUUGCUCAUGCAAUUGGUGUAGUGAGCAAAUUUCUUUCUAAUCUAGGAAAUGUUCACUAAGAAGUAGUGAAAUGAAUUUUUAGAUAUUUGAGGGGCACUUCAAAAAUGUGCUUAAGUUAUGGAGUUUCACAACCAUUCUAAAAAGGUUUACUGAUGCUGAUAUGACGAGUGAUCUUGAUGAUAGAAAAUCUAUUUUAGGAUAUUUGUUCACUUUUAUAAGAGAAGUUGUAUCUUGGCAGUCUAAAUUGCAUAAAUGUGUUAUUUAUCUACUACAGAGGCUAAGUAUAUUGCAACAAUCGAAGCAGGUAAAGCAAUGCUUUGGAUGAAACAUUUUUUUUUAAUUGGAGUUGAAUCAGAAAGAGUACAUGAUGUUCUGUGAUAGCUAAAGUACUUUAGAUUUGAGUAAGAAUGCCAUGUACCAUUCUAGAACGAAGCACAUUGAUGUUAGAUAUCACUGUUACAUUCAGUGAUUGAAAAAUAGCAGAUGUUAUUAAAGAAAAUCUAUACUGAAAGGAAUGUAGUAGAUAUAUUAACUAAAAAACUUCUUAGAAAUAAGCUUAAGCUUUGUAGUAACUUGACCAAAAUAGGUUCAUUGGCCAAAGUAAUUCUAAAUAAAAUUGCUUAUGGUGAUGAAUCUCUUCCUAAUAAGACUAAAAGGAGAUUGUUAAGAAAGUGGAGUCCAACCCCAUAGAUUUUUUUACUAUUCAAAGGUAAUGGAUCUUGUGUUUUUAGGCUUCCUUAAGAAAGUCCUAGCUACUUAAUAAAAAGAGGUAAGGUUAUUUUAAGGUGAAAAAAAAAGUGGCACCGCAAACAAGAAAAGAAAAGGGAAAAAGAAGCUAGAAAAGUAGAGAUAAAAGAAAUAAGGGAGAGUUGGUUGAACAGAAGUCGAUCCAUGAUCUGAUUGGGCUGAAAUUUUAUCUACAUGUUAUUAUUCAGAGUUUUACAUUCUAAACGAUAAAAAUCGAGUUUGAAACUCUCUAGAAACAAAUUCAUGGUAUAUUUGUUGAGUCACCUAUUUGGUGAGAUUUCUCAAAUUGUCUUUCUAGUUGUUGAUUAGCUCUAGUUUUAAUUAGAGAGAACUUUGUAUAUCUAUUAUUUGAUAGUGAUGAUUUUUUUGGUGGUCCACGAUUUUUUUCCUCUACACUAAAGGGUUUUUCACGUAAAUCUUGGUGUGUUUUAUUUUUUCUACAUUGUUAAUUAUUAAUUGUUGUCUAUUACUAUAUAUUUAUUGUAAUAUAUUGCUUUUGUAUUGUUAUAUUUAUUGCUUCAAGCCCAACACAAUUAUCUAGUAUGAUAAUUAUCUUUUGAAGUAUUCAAAGACAUAAUUCUUUGGCUAGAUUGAUAACCAGAACAAGUUUUACAUGUUGAACUCAAAUUCUAUGAGCGAUCCCGUUUCAUUCAAUUAGAAGACUAAGGAACUACUAAGUCAAUUGGCGAAUAAAGCUUAUGCAACUCUCAAACUGUAUGCCGCUAGAGAGAUGGAGUUGUAUGGAUCACAAAAAUUUUCUGGAUUGACUCAGUGCACAAGGGACAUUUCCAGCGGUGAUUAUAAGAAGUGUCUUGACGAUUUAAUUGGUGAGUUUCCAAGCUGUGGUGUUGGCAAAAAAGGAGGUAGACUUAUUGGUAGCAGUUGUAACUUUAGAUAUGAAAUAUACCCUUUUGUUAAUGCUUAAACAUUUGAAAAAAAAAUUUUGUUACUGAAAAAAUGUGAAAAAUUAAUGGAUCAAUGCAAUGACUGUCGAUCAUCACUGAAUAAAUAAAACUUCUGUUAUAAUCAUGCAUAAAUGAUCAUCAGUUUCCUAUUUCAACAUUGUAAUUUUCUCCUCUUUUCCAAUCAAAAUUAUAGAGUACAUGGCCAUUCAAGGAAGAGUUUUAUUUUCCUACUAGCUGCAAGACAGUGAAUAAAAAAAAAAACCACUCUUUUUACACACAACAAAGUAUUGUUGAAAACUUGCCUCUCAUUUGCUUUCCAUCUGGUCAUUGGGUGCCUAGUUUCUUUAAGUUGAAAUAUCAUUUUAGGUCAAAUAAACCUUCUACCUUUCUUCUGUUGGGAUUUUUUAAGUAAAACAAUUUUUACAAUGAGAUCAAUAUGAAACAAAACACAUGAAAAUGGCAAUAUUUAAUGUGGUUCAGCCCAAUUGGUUGCAUUUACGAAUGAAAGAAAAAAUUCACUAUAAACAUAGAAAUUACAAAAUACAAAACACCAUAAACAAACACUAAUAUCAAGCUUUUGAAACAAUCCUAGUUUCCAUUCUCCCUAAUGUAUAACUUAUGCGCUAGUGGUUUUUUGAACAAUUUCUUUUCACAUCCCUACAAAGUUAUCUUCAUAUAGAGAUCUCAUAACUCUCUCAUAAUUAUAAAAGUUAAUACUUACUCUAUAUUUAUUAAGCUUUAAGCUCCAUUACUUGAUCAACAAGAAUUUUUAUUAAUUAAAAGCUCUUACUCAUUAAGAAUAUUUAUCCUUAAAUAAACUCAAUUACCAUGUAAUUCUUUAACUAAUAGAAUUUCACUGGAAUUCAAACUAAUUCCUAAUUAGAAUUUGAGUCAAUAUCUAACAAGUCUCCAUUUUAACACAAAUUCUACCACAAUAUUGACCUUCAAGAAAUUUCAACUCAUAUAGUUGAAUCAAUGCUAUCUCCACUUGAUUCACAUAAGUGGUUAAUACUUAUAUACAGCCAAAUCAACUUCACCCGAUUGACUCUACCUAUAACUAACAUCUUGUUAUAAUAUUUUUCUCUUGCAUAUUUAUAAUCUCACAAACACAAUUUGCAACAAAAAAUUCCCUUUCACAAUCAAUGUGAGAUAAUCUUAAUAAUCUCUCCAUUUCAAACAUCGGGCUAUAGGGAAGAGCUUCUAUACUUGGCUCACAAUGAAGAUGUUGGCAACCUGGCUCUGAUACUACUUGUUGAAAUUUUUAAGCAGAACAAAUUUCACAACAAGAUCAACAUGAAAUAAAUUACAUACAAAAGUAAUAUUUAAUGUAGCUUGACUCAAUUGCAUCCAUGAAUGAGAGAGAAAAUCCAUUAUAAAAGUAAUUAGAAAGAGUACAAAAUACCAUAAACAAAUACUAAUCUCGAGCUCCUAAAACAAUCCCAGUUUCCAUACUCCUUAGUGUAUAACUUAUAAAAUAUCAUUCACUCCAUACAAUCAGUGUUUUUCUGAAUAAAUUUUUUUCACAUCUCUACAAACUUAUAUCCUAUAUAGAGAUCUCAUAACUCUCUAUCAUAAUUCUAAAAGUUAAUAUUUACUCUAUAUUUAUAAAACUCCGAACUCCAUUGUUGAUAACUAAUAAUUUCUAUUUACUAAAAACUCUUAUCCAUUAAAAAUAUUUAUCUUUAAAUAAACUUAAUUACCAAAUAUUGGAAUUCAAACUAAUUCUCAAUUAGAAUUUGAGCCAAUACUUAACAUCUUCUUGCCUUAAUUGAUGGAGAAUAUUGUUGCAUGCAUGCUAAAAUAACGGAUGGUUUACAAUGUAAUAAAGACAGUUCCUCUUCUAGCAACAAACAUUUUUGCAUUAAACUUUGAAUUUAACAUUUUGUUAAUUGUCCUAGUGAAUUAGUAAGUGAAUAUAUUGUGCUUGUUUUCAAUCUUGAAUGUUUGGGUAGCUUAUAUAUGUUUCAAAUCCCAUCCAAUGUGAGAAUAUUUAUAAAGUUUUUCAAGGAGUUUAAUACAAUUCAAUAUGUAUAUUGUAAUAUACCAUUUUUAAGUUUUAGGAGAUAAAUGUUAAUUUGGGUUUAACUUAUCAAUAAUUAAGUCAAAUUAACAAUUUAGAUGCUAUAUAUAUAUAUAUAUACACACACACACACACAUAUAUAUAUAUAGGUAUAUAGUAGUUUGGAAGUCCUAUAUGAAAUUUCCUAGAAUGAAAGUCCAUCCUUUGAUGUUUAACUCUUUAAUGGUCUCAGAAGUUGACUUUGUUAUUAUUCUCCUAGCUUUACUCUUUUAUGUGGAGGAAAUAACUCCUUGAGAACCGAAUUAAUUAAAUGCAAUAAAUAAUAAUCUAUGUAAAAAAAUUUUAAACGAAGUCGUACUUUAGAAGUAUAAAAAAAUUAUAAAUAUUAAUAAAAUUUUAAUCUCAAAUUUAUUGAAUAUUAUUUUUAAUAAUAAUUAUAUAAAUUAAUUAGAUUAGAUUCGGAAUCUAAAAAGUUUUUAAGUUAAGAAAUAUGUGGUUUUAGAUAAAAGGAUUUUUAUCAAUAAUUCAUGCAAUCAAAUAAGUAAUUGAUCAAUACGAUAACUGUUGUGAUGGGUACUUAGACGUUUGAUUAAAAAAUAAAUAAAAUUAUUAUUAGAACACAAGCCGAGUUAGUUGUGAAAACUAUGCCCGUAAGCCCGACAAACGAAAAGUUCUAAACCCAACAAUGAGGCCUACUCAAAAGCACUACCCCAUUAACUCUAUUAACAUCUAGGCCACUUGAUCCAUCAAUUCGGGCGCACCAACCAGGUCCAAAAAUACCACAACAUCUAUAUGAUUUCGUGUAUACGACAAACAUAUACAUUUAAUAGACGAAUUGAUACUUAUAAAAAUCUUUUUGUAUUCGAGCAUAGUAGAGGGGAUGGAUUGCAUAGUCUGUUAAUAAAAUAUUAAAUUUUUAAUUUCAGUAAUUAUGAUUUAAAUUUUGAUAAUUUUAAAUAUAAAAAAAUUUCAAAAAAUGAGUUAAUAUAUUAAUAUCGUCUCUAACAAUUACUAUCCAACUUUAUUUCAAACUAAACUUUAUGAUUAAUUAGCACAAUAAUUUACAAGAAUAUUCAUGGCCAAAUUCAUACCACACCAAAUCAGUCCUUAGUCAUUGUCUCAUAAUUCACAAUAUCAGCCCUCUCGUAGCCUUCUGAAUAGUUUUCUUGUCUUUCAAAGAAAAAGUCAAAUUGUAUGCUCAUAUCUAUGAAAUUAGAGAUGGGGAAUCACAAUCAUUGUGGAAUAGAGAUAAGGGGAAUGGAUAUGUUCAUGAGGAAAUAUAUCUAGUUAGCAACAGCUCUAAGCUUAUCCCCCAAUUUGCAUCCUCAAAAAACCUUAACUGCUCGGUGUAUAUAGGAAGGGCCAUAAAUGGAGAGAUAAGGCAAUUGAAGGAAUGCAAUGCACUACCGGAAAUGCUUUGGCUGUAACCUAAGAAUCUAUCACAAAAAAACCUAUUCACGUCAUAGAUAAAAAUUAGUGACGGAAAUUUUAUAUAAUACAUACCUUUAAUUCAGAAUACCACUGCAAAUUUGUUCAAUUCUAUCACAAAUUUAAUGGCGAUUUUUUUCAUCAUAAAGAUUAUAAGUUCCAUCACAAUUAAUGUUUGAUCAAGUCGGAUAAUGUUUUUUGACGGAAAAGAAGAAGCAACAAAUAGCCAACCUCAACUACGUAGAAAAGACAACGAAACUCCCCUAUCUUUCUAAUCCUUUACCAUGUGCCAGGGUGCUGAAAGGGUAUCUAUUAGCCAAAGUUAUAAUCAUAUGAUAGAAGAAAAGCUAGGCAUUGUUCUAGAAAUGGCAUGGUUAGAUUAAGAGAAGAUCAAGGAAACCAUCUGGCUAUGAUAAGGAAAGGCAUUAGAUGAUAUUAGACCUUUAAAUUUUUUGUUUUCUCUCAUUUUCUCAUCAGCUCACGUCUCUGUCAAUUAAGAUUGAAAGGUACACUUGGUGAAGUCGUCCAAGACGUAAAAGGGAAAGGUGUUGCAUUCGAAAGGGACACUCUCGCUUGCUUUGGGGCUCGUCAAGCAGCCAUUGCCAAACUGUAUGUAGCUUUGAAGUUCGAACCCACCCGCAUAGAGUAGGAAAGGAAAUAUUUCUUCCUGGGGUUUUUCGGUGGUUAAUGGCCUCAACAGCUAUGACAUUACCAAUCACUUAAAUUAUUGACCAGAUUGCAACCUGUUUGGCUUAAUGAAUUCCAACCUGAUUUAGCAAAAAAAUAAUUACCAAUCACUUAAAAUUUUUAAUUACGCAUUUUUAUCACAUACUUUUUAAACAAUAUUAUUUUUUUCAAACUUAAACCUUUUCCAACUGUAACAUCAAUGCCAAACUAAUCCUUAAAAACAUUGAUAAGACAGACAUGGUGAGAUUGCUACUUGGUCAACUCUUACAUACGGUGUACUUAUUUAUUGGUCAAACAUUUGAUUUUUCGUGCUGCAGUGAUCAUAGCCACCUAAAAUCUAUUUUAUGUAAUAAAACAAGAACAAGAAAGUACCUUCUCCAAUACCCCUAGUCCUAGCCAUCUUUCGUAUAAAAAAAUUCCUUCUAUAAUUAUUAAUAUACAAAAGAAAAAAGUGUGAAAUGAACUUCUAGAACUUAGAAAAGGCCAAGGAACUGGUUCGCUAUCAGCUUUCCUAAUAAAGAGAUAUAUUAGUCAAUGAUCAUAUAGAUACAGUUCACAGGUUAUAACAAAGCUGAAAACCAUUCUAUCUGGUGGUGCUAUAUUUGACACAAUCUACAGUGUCUUUUUCCAUAGGUUUUUUUUAAGUGUUUGAACAAUCUCAUCAGGCAUCGAACUUGUAAACUUCCUGGUUCUUUUCAAUUUUCAAACAAAAAUUUUAGUUAAUUUAAUAGUACAUAUUUAGGGAUGAAAAUGGAUAGUAAAUAAACGGAUAUCAAUUAUUAUCCGAUUCAUUUAUAUUGAAUUUGAAUAGUUAUAAAUAAAUAAUUAACGAAUUCGAAUAAAAUAUUUAAUAUUCGUGACGGAUUUGGAAUGAUAUGGAUAGUGUCUUUGAAUAUCUAAUAUUUAACUUUGUUUAAAUUUUAUUGAAUAGUAAUGAAUAUGAUAUCUGAAUCCAUUAUUUAUUUACAUAUGUAAAAUAUAUAAAAUUUUUAUAUUUGUAGAAAGUUUCAAAUAUUAAAAAAUAACUUUUAUUUAUUAUUAAUUAAGACUGAACUUGAAUUUUAAAUUAAAUUCUUGCUUGUUUUAUAUUUUAAUAAAAAAAUUUAAAUAAACAACUAUUUUAACAGAUUCAAAUAUUUAAAUUAAUAUUGUUUAUUAAACAGAUUCAAAUUUAGAUAAUAAUAUUAAACUUAAAUAAAUAUUUAAACAAAUUCAGAUAUUAUAAAUAUUAAAUAGAUUCAGAUAUAGAUAUCUAAAAAAUAGCAAAUAUCCACUCCAUUUCUAUUCCUAUAUAUAUUUACAAUUUUUGCCAAAAAAAUCCCAUGUUAAAAGGAUUUUAGUAGGUUUUGUCUAUGAAAUUAAACACUUAUUUGUACUUAAUAAUUUUAAACAUGAUACAUGAUAAAAAUAUAUAUGAAAAGAAUAUGAAAAUAACAUAAUUUAAAAUUUUAAUAAAAAUUAUAUAUAAAUUUUAUAAAAUAUAUAUAUUUGUAUUUAGCAUAUCUAUAUAAAUUAUGAUAUAAUUUUUUUUAUUUUAUACAUAUUAAAUAUAAAAUAACCAAACACAAAUACACGAAUUUAUCCAUGCAACAUGCAUAUUUACCAAAUGGAUUUGGAUAGAAAAUAUAUAUAUAUAUUUAUUUAUUUAUUUAUUUGCAUGGAGUCAGGCUAUUGUGUUUGAUUUGUUCUAUCGGUAAUUUCCAUAACUAUUCCUGCAUUAUAGUUGAUGAAUAAGUGCGUUUUCAGCUUGCACAUUAAAGAAUUAUCUGAGCGCCGCAGCCCACAUUUGAAAAUUUCUUGUCACCUUGCUUGCACAGUGAAGAAAAUAGAGCAGAAAAAACUGAAAAGGUCAGCCUCUUAAACCUAUAAUCUCCAUGGUCAAACCUGAAAUUUUCCCUAUAAAUAACAGUUUCAUGGUCCUAAGCUGAAACAAACAAGCUAAUUGCAUUAUAUCAUCAUUAGUUUCAACAAUGUCUUCUUCAAGAUUUGCCUCCCUUCUUCAUCUGUUAACCUUUGCUUUCCUUCUCCAAACAGCUUUUGGAGUUGACCCUCUCUUCCAUUUUUGUUCAAACUCUGCAGGGAAUUUCACUGCCUAUGACACUUAUGAAGGAAACUUAAACAAACUUACCGGUUACCUCUCUAUUCAAGCUCCUCUCCCAGGUUUUGGCCUCGGCAUUCUAGGGCAGGAGCCGAACCAAGCAUUUGGGCUUGCCCUUUGUAGAGGCGAUGUGUCAA
rnacentral:lncRNA from 1 species